CGGGCGCACGGCCCCGUUCCCUCUCCGCCCGGCGCUCCCGCCGUCGUUUGCCCGAGGGAGGCGGCGGCUUCCCUGAACCCUUUCACUCGGCAGCGGUUUCCCGCCGGCCAGCCCUGCUCGUCCUAACCGGGCAUGCAGCGGCUGCUGCGGCGGCUUCUCCCCGCGCUUUACUCGCAGCGGCCAGCGGCGGCCUGCGCCCUCCUCGCCCGGCGGGCUGUACCCGCGCUCCCGCGCCUCAUGGCGCUGCGGCCGGCGGUGGGCGCCGGAGGAGGCGGUGGCGGCGGGAACCCUUCCCCCGCAGCCAGCGAGACCCCGGAGCACGAUGGGCUGGAUAACAUGCAGCAAAAGAAAAUCUGUAAUGAGAAUAAGGAAAGGACACAACAGAGAAAAGAGCCAUGUUCUGCUGAUUCUGUAGAAUCACUAAUGGGAGAAAUGCCGUUUGUCGACACAGAUAUUGAAAAUGAAUUUGUUAUGCAUGCAACCUCUGAAAUAACUAUAAAAAAGAAAAGAAAGAGGACUACUGGAAGGGAAGUUGAAGAAGGCAGUGACAGAAAGAAGAAAAAGAAAAAACAGUAUUGGCCAAAUUAUUUCAUUUCUCUUCCAAUUACUAAUCCAGAGAUUACUGGCAGUGUUCAGGCUGUCCAAGAUGUAAUAAUACAAAAGGAUCAAAGGCUUUCCAAAGCAAUGGUUCGCUCUGGCUCAUUGCAUGUCACCAUGUUAGUGAUGCAUUUAUCCAAUGAAGAAGAAAUUAGCGUAUUUUUUUUCUUUCCUCUUGACAGAGCAGUUGGUGCUCUUUCAGACAGCAAGGAUUUUGUAGAAGAUCUCCUGAAAGGAAAAACUGUGGAUUUGUCUUUUCAAGGAAUUGAUCACUUCAGAAAUGAAGUUGGAUUUGUGAAGUUAGCAGAAAAUGAUCAUACAACUAUACUUACAGAAAUAGCAGAGACUAUGAAGAAGAUAUUUCAAGAAAAGGGCAUCUUGACAGGAGGAGAAAGAGCUUUUAAACCACAUCUGACCUUCAUGAAGUUGUCAAAAUCAACACAAUUACGUAAGCAGGUGAAAAAAAUUGACUCAAGCCUGUAUGAAGAUUUUAAAAGCCAUUAUUUUGGAGAUGAAAUCCUGCACCGCCUAGAUCUUUGCUCCAUGUUGAAAAAAAAGCAACCGAAUGGUUACUACUACUGUGAGUCGUCUAUUGUUUUUGGAAAGAGCCAUGAAGCAGACUUAGUAAAGGAAGCUUUGCACAGAGAAACACAGGCCCUGUUAUCCAGACUGAAUCAGAUAAAGGAGCUGUUAUCCAGUCCUGAUAUCCGCACGAAAAUUAGCAAAGAACUGUUUGACGACAGGCACAACUCUAACAGUAAAAGGAAAAGUUGUACUGACUCUGGAUCUCCAAAUGCAUAAUUGUAAAUUACCAUGAUGUAAAAUCUCAUCAGGUUGUUUAAAGACAGAAAAUAUUCUUCAAGAAAUUUUUAUUUGUUUCUUAUUUACUGAAAAUAUGAAUGGGUGUAAAUGGAUCGUGAGGAAUAAUGCUGAAAUACUUGCACAGAAGGAGUAUAUUUCAUAAUGAUGAAGUAUAGCCACUCCUCAGCACGGCUGUGAAAUGUGCUUAAAUGUGCGGGUAUAUGUCAUGGCUCCUAAGUGGAAAAAUACUGAUUUCAAAUAAAUCUGAGCAAACACUGUGCCCUUCCUUUAUCAUUGCAAAUAAUUCAGAUUUUUCUCAUUGAUCCUUUCCCUUGUGAUGAUAUACAACUAUUAAAAAAUGAAUGCUUUUAAAUACUUUAAAAUGUAUAUUUGAAAAAACCUCUUUUAAUUAUCUGCCUUUUGGAUAUGUAUUGGCAUUUUGGAUUAGCACUGUCUGGUUUUUAUUUUUUUUUUUAAACAGCACUUGAAUACUUGUAUAGAUGCUGACAUGUUGUUUCUGCUGAUGUUUACACUAAUGCAAGAAUGUUUUAAAUUUCAGAAUGAAAUUCAGGCUCCACUGAUCUCAGUGGGAGACUCUCAUUGGCUUUCAUGGAGUCAGGAUGCUGCAAUUAAGUUUUCUCGUGAAAAUAAUAAUAUUCCGUGGGAUAAUAUUUGCCUUUUUACUUUUGUCAAACAGUGGUUUUGUCUUUUGUUUUUGAUUUUUCCUCCAUCUGUACCUUCUGCUGCCUGAGGUGGGGCGUCAGUUUGCUCUCGUUGUUCCCUCCACAUGCCUGCGAGAUUCACUGAAGCUUUGGAUGUACGACAAUGCAGGAUGAAGCCUGGCUGCCAAAUUAAAGCAUAAAUCUCUUGUAUGGAACUGUGAGAUGAGCACUGAAGAAUGCAGAGACACAGAGACUGAAACUAAUAUAGGCAGGUGUGAAGCUCUGAGCCGCACACACCAGAACAAAUGAAAUACUACCUGCAGAGCCAGCUCCAGCCCCGUGGAAGCCAGGAGGGAAUCCGGUUGCCUCAGGUGGAGUCUGGUAGCCAGAGAACACCUGAGGCUUGCUUCACUCUGCUUCUAGCCUGGGACUUUGUUUUGCACAAUCUUUUUCAAAGCAGUCUUUUAUCUGUGAAUGCCCUCUGCCCCUGUUCAGCUGUCAAUGGCAUAUUGUCUUGGCCUGAGAAAAUGACGGACUGAAUCGGUACCAUGGCUUUCAGCUGUUUCCAUCCCUUUCGAGGAGGGGGGAAGUUGUCACUGAAAUCCCGAAGCGGUUGGUGUCUUUGCAGAGGCACCCCUAGUCUCCCUGUGAGAGGCUGGAGGAGGACCUGUGCAGCUGUUCACUGAAGUCUUCACCUAGAGAUGACUGCUGCCUGAGCCUCGGGCCGCAGAGAAGGCCCAAAACCAUCAGACAAAAGCCGUUCCCGAGGGAUGCAUCCUCCCAGAACCAAGAGGGGAGUGGUUCAGCUGUGUGAUUAGUGGGCAGCCAGGUAAAAUAAGUGUUGUUUUAGCUUGAUGAAGAUUGUUCUAAGUCAUGGUCCUGUAGUAAUUCACUUUGUGAAAAGCUUUUGAUUCUGAUUCUUCCAUAAGGUUUCGCAUAGUGGUAAGGGGUAAUCUCUGAAACCAAUGAAGGUGCAUUCACUUUCAAAGAGCUCAUUAGUGCUGUACCAUAACGUUCUAUAGAAAUGCUUUGCACUUUUUAUUUCAGUUCAACAAAAUCAUUAUGUUGGCCUGGUUUCAGAGGCAAGGAGUCACACCAUUCUUACGGCAAAGGAAACUGUUUGAACCCUGGGAAUAGGAGCACGUUAAUGCUGACAUGUGUUUACUCCGCUGUUCCUUUGAUCCAUACAGUUUCUGAAUAAGCAAGUUCUUAGUGUGCACUCAUUUUCUCAUUUAUAUUCUCCUCAUGUUAAGUCCUUAUAAUGAGAACAUUUGUACUGAAUGAAAAUCAGUCCUGAGAGACGGCUGGGCUGCGAAAUCAAACGCACUCAUAGUGGAGCAAUAAUUAGAACAGUACACAGGAAAACAAAAAGCGAUACGCCUGCCAUUCCUGGCAUAGCAAAAAGGGCACUCUGGCAUUGAUAAGCAAAUACUUCUGCAGUAAGAGGCUGCAGUUUGAGUGCUGCGUUCUGGUCCCUGCUCCCACCAGUGUUUACGUGCUUUCUAUAGUGACUCUUGGACGCAAAAUGCAUUAGCAGGGACUGGGCCGUGGAACUGUUUCUUGCAAGGGACCCUCCUUGUUGCUGGGAAAGAAAGCCUCCUUUCGCUCCUGGUGAUUAAGGAUUAAACCAAUCAAAAAUGCAGAAUUAGGGUAGUUAAAAGGAGUUGAUUAAGAAAUGACCCAUAAGGAUUUCAGCAAAAGCUUGUUUGAAAUAAAAGGAGUUUUUCUUUCAGAUAAGAAAGGCAGAGGUGUUUUGGGGUCAGGAUUGACUCUAGAGAUUCUGGUGGGGUUUUUUUAGCAAAAUUACAGUUUGAAUUAAAAGUCAG